AGAAAACAAAAUGAAUAUUAGAAGUGCAAUGAACUAACUCAAACUGACUAUUUUUUAUUUCCUUCAUUUGGAUGAAUUUCAUCAAAUGAAGACUUGAUAUCUCCCAAAUAUUGAACGCUAUGGCUCUGAGACCUGGAAAGUGACAUAUAAUAUAAACCGAAAAUUACAAAGAUUCUAGUGCAAUGCUUUUCGCCUGUUGCGUCAUUCAACAUUUAUUUUCCAUAUGACAAUCUGUUGAAGUUGACAAACACUAUUUUGAUUAAAACGAAAUCAAGAAGAGAUAGUGGACGUGAAUAAGGUACAUCUACGAAAAGAGAACAAUAAUAUCGGAAAUAUUGUUGUUCAGUGCAACCUACAAGGUAAUUGUCGACCAGGUCAAUCUAGACUGAACCGAAAUAAUUUUAAUUACAUAACAUAGAGUCCAUUAUAAAUAUUUGAGGUUGAGAAGCUCAUAAGUCACAUAUAUAAAUAUUAAAAACUUAAAUCAGUAUAACAGUAUAAUACUCGUAGUAUAAUAAAUGUACAUAGAUGUACAUAUUUUGUCUAAUAAGACUUGGGGUAUAUCUUUUAACAGUAUAAACAUUAUAUAAGCUUAAUAUGUAUUAUAAUUACUAUUUAUAAUUGCGUUUUC